AUGUAAGUGUAUAAUGAGGAUAUAAGUUGUAUAGAUGAUUGCAUACAUGAAUAUAUGAAGAUGGAGUACACGCUACUUCUGUUUACAUAUACAAGUGUGUGUAAAAGUGAUGAGCUACACCCUUCAAAAAGGAUAUGUUAGGAGCUUAAGGUACAUAUGGAAAGCUACCUUUCACAAGUAGAGUACUUGACCUAUUUGAGGAGUAAAUGGAAAAGAAUACAAAUCUACUUUGCAAAACCUACUUUACAUUAGUAGCUAGAAAAGAGUAAAAUGACAACACUAGAUUCUAAUUCGUCAUGGAAAUCUUCUCCAGCUCGAUCCUUGCUCCCCACUCCACAGAAGGCCAAGUUGAAACGUUAGUAAAGCCCCUUUUUCAUCUGCCACAUCAAGCCAAAAGAGGUUAGGAUACCUCCACCAAGGAAAUCAAACAAAAUCAGCUAUUAAAGUGGGUGUAGGAGCUGUUGCGGAAGCCUAUUUAACAAUCUCAAAAGAAGGAGAGACCUUUAGCUCAGAGUAGCAAGUUAUACUCCCCAAAACCUGCCACAAAAGAUAGGGAAAUUGGCUAUAAAAUCAGCCUUCCCACUCUUUCUCGCCACCAGUAGACACCCCCAAAACUUGCGAAUGAGCAUCAAGAGGGAGAGCAGGAUUCGGCAGCAAGCUUCGGAGUUCGGGCAGUCAAAAGAAGCCAAUAACUGAGGCUAUUUUUGACUGGGAGGCAAAGUAAGGGCGACGUGAGAAUUUUAAUUGAGGAGUAAACGUAUCAGGUGUGCUUUCUUUUAAUAUCAAGUACAUUAGUGUUGAUAUAAAUCAAAUACUUGUGAAAUUAUGAAAUAUCAUCUUUUCUCAAAAUGGAGUUGUGAUGAUUUUUUUUAAGCUGUUGUCAUGUCAUAACAUGUUUGUUUUCGAGGACUAUCUGUUGGACUAUAUGUUUGUUGGUUUUGGCUACACCAAAACGUUACGAUUUGGAAUGGAGUGCGCGAGGGCUUUGAGCCAUCCAAGAGGGUUGGCCGGCUAUGGUGUCCUUGGAAGGUGGCCACAUUCUCGGUACACGACUUGCAGAUAUGAUUAAGCAAUGGGGUGGAGGCGUACUGAUCAGAGUCGAUGCUACUUAAGUAAAUAAGUGUGGAUCUUUCGACGCUUGGUGUCUUCAUACGCGAAGUAGUUUUCUGGACUUUUUCCGCUGCAAUUUGUUAAGAGAGAAUAGUGACUCUCAUCAUCAUAACUCUAAUUCAUUUUGAUGAAAUGCUAUUCUCAUUUAAAUCCUUGUAAUCGAACACUUUGGAUCCUAUCUUAUGAUAUUGUUUGACUUUUCAAUGUG